AAAGGAGCCCACAUGCAUGAGGAAAUAUGCCACCCAAAAUCAGUGAAUAAUGUUAGCUCAGAAUCUGUCUAGAAGAUAAGUACAAGGACACAAAGGAGUGAACCAACCAGAUGAGACGAGGUCUUAGUACUGCCCAUUCCUUCACUGGCACCUACUUCUUUGGGAUUCCA